UUCAACCUUUUAUUGGCGGUUCAAGUUCAAUACGUUGUUUCUUGUUUAUAAAUAGACGUCUGGCAUGUGUCAGACAGCUUCCCUUUAAAGACGGGAAGAUUUUGUCACUCGUCUCAGACCCGUUUCUUUGCUUGAGCCGUUUCGACACGAUUACUCAGUUCUCUAAAUUAUUGCCAGUUGCCCAGUUCGUAACAAUAACAAGAAUGUCGAAUGGAAAGUCUUUAAAAAUUACGGCUGAGGACAAAGACGGAGUUCGCACAAGAUCUACUGUUAUUCGAUCGGAAAAUUUCGGUCACGGAUCAAAAGUUUCCAUAUCCAGUGAAGAGAAAAGACAGAUGGGAGCAGGCAGAGGCAGUGAUGUUAGUCAUGUCUUUGCUAACAUGCUUGGAGGAUCGGGAAAAGACAAAGAUAAUCUUUUCCUAUCAUCCCCAAAUUUCAACAGAGGUGCUUACAAAGAAAAUGAAUUUGAAACCAGGAAAUUCAUUAGAACUACCGAAAAGUAUCACCCAGGAAAACAAGUAGAAGCUCACACAAAGGUCACCAUACACCCCAGCAGCAAUUCGGGAGCCGAUCCUCGCAUGAAGUAUGAUGUCACCUCGCACAUUGACGGCAAAGAAGGGCCAAGUUACACUACGUUUUUUAAUUUUUUUGGCAAGAAAUGAGGUCAACUGCGAUGGGGAUUUUCAAUCGAAGAUCAUAUAUAUUCAAUUAUUCAAAUAAAAAGUUCGCUACUUUAAA